GUGACUCUAGUCCUUGAUCUCACAUAAAUGGCUGUGAAGAGGGAGAUCCACAAUGACUGGUGGUGGUGCUUAGGCUUGGAGGUGGAGUCAGGGUGGUUGUUGGUGGUGAUUUAGCUUUUCACGUUUGAAACAUGGUAGUGUAGGUGCAACAACACCAACGAUGUCUCUGCUCAUUAAGGUUCGCCAAAAUCAGAUCUAUUGUUGCUUCGCAAUUGGUGUUUGAAUGUUGGGAGAUUAGAGGGUUUGUAGAAGAAAAGGGAAAAAAGGAAAUGAGACAGAAGAAAAAAUAAAUAAAAAUAAAUAAUAAAAACUCAAAAAAAAAACUGAAAAAGUAUUAAAAGAAAUAUAAGUGUUUCGGUGUGAAUUUCUGGGACCGAAAGAACUGACCUGUGACACUUCCGCUUUGUGCUGCUUGAUUAAGUAGAUUGGUGCACCUUCUCUCGUGAAUUGAACGUCCGCUCUCCUUCAAUCUUCAACUUUCCGGAAAUCUCCAAUCUUUGACCGGAGGGGGAGGUACCUGCUGGCACUCCGACGCCCAAGUUAGGGUAUAGUAGUGAAGAGCCUUGAGUGCAAGGCUAAGGAUUCUCAAUAUGAGAAUGUAGAGUGGAAUCACUCAGCUAAUUCAUAAUGAAUUAGGUGAAGAAUCACAAGUAUACUGUAGAGUAAAAUAGCAUAAGAGAGAGCGUACCUGGCUUCCAGCUCUGUAUAUAUAGAUUAUUAUCAAAUAUAAACAGAAUAUAAUAUAAACAACUAUACC
rnacentral:lncRNA from 1 species